rnacentral:snRNA from 1 species
GUGCUUGCUUCAGCAGCACAAACACUGAGAUUGGCAGUACGCAGAGAUUAGCUCAGGGACUGCACAAGGAUGACAUGCAACCCCAUGAAGCAUUUCAUAUUUUG